rnacentral:rRNA from 1 species
GCGUACCGCCGAAGUCGUGUCAUUGCAGUACAUACCCCCAACGGGGACUGUGAUGGGUAGGGGAGCGUCGUGUGCCGGGUGAAGCAGCCGCGGAAGCGAGUUGUGGACGGUUCACGAGUGAGAAUGCAGGCAUGAGUAGCGAUACACACGUGAGAAACGUGUGCGCCGAUUGACUAAGGGUUCCUGGGUCAAGCUGAUCUGCCCAGGGUAAGUCGGGACCUAAGGCGAGGCCGACAGGCGUAGUCGAUGGACAACCGGUUGAUAUUCCGGUACCCGCUUUGAAACGCCCAGUACUGAACCCGUUAAUGCUAAGGCCGUGAAGCCGCCGGCUGAGUCUUCGGACGAGGUCGGAGUGGUGGAGCCGCUGACCCAAGGCGGUAGUAGGUAAGUGAUGGGGUGACGCAGGAAGGUAGUCCAGCCCGGGCGGUGGUUGUCCCGGGGUAAGGGUGUAGGACGUCACGUAGGCAAAUCCGCGUGACACAUAGUCUGAGACCUGAUGCCGAGCCGAUUGUGGUGAAGUGGAUGAUCCUAUGCUGUCGAGAAAAGCCUCUAGCGAGUUUCAUGGCGGCCCGUACCCUAAACCGACUCAGGUGGUCAGGUAGAGAAUACCGAGGCGUUCGGGUGAACUAUGGUUAAGGAACUCGGCAAAAUGCCCCCGUAACUUCGGGAGAAGGGGGGCCAUCACCGGUGAGAGCACUUGCUGCUCGAGCUGGGGGUGGCCGCAGAGACCAGCGAGAAGCGACUGUUUACUAAAAACACAGGUCCGUGCGAAGCCGUAAGGCGAUGUAUACGGACUGACGCCUGCCCGGUGCUGGAACGUUAAGGGGACCGGUUAGCUGACUUUCGGGUCGGCGAAGCUGAGAACUUAAGCGCCAGUAAACGGCGGUGGUAACUAUAACCAUCCUAAGGUAGCGAAAUUCCUUGUCGGGUAAGUUCCGACCUGCACGAAUGGCGUAACGACUUCUCGACUGUCUCAACCAUAGGCCCGGUGAAAUUGCACUACGAGUAAAGAUGCUCGUUUCGCGCAGCAGGACGGAAAGACCCCGGGACCUUUACUACAGUUUGAUAUUGGUGUUCGGUUCGGCUUGUGUAGGAUAGGUGGGAGACUGUGAAGCUUGGACGCCAGUUCAGGUGGAGUCGUCGUUGAAAUACCACUCUGGUCGUGCUGGAUGUCUAACCUGGGUCCGUGAUCCGGAUCAGGGACAGUGUCUGAUGGGUAGUUUAACUGGGGCGGUUGCCUCCCAAAGGGUAACGGAGGCGCCCAAAGGUUCCCUCAGCCUGGUUGGCAAUCAGGUGUUGAGUGUAAGUGCACAAGGGAGCUUGACUGUGAGACCGACGGGUCGAGCAGGGACGAAAGUCGGGACUAGUGAUCCGGCGGUGGCUUGUGGAAGCGCCGUCGCUCAACGGAUAAAAGGUACCCCGGGGAUAACAGGCUGAUCUUCCCCAAGAGUCCAUAUCGACGGGAUGGUUUGGCACCUCGAUGUCGGCUCGUCGCAUCCUGGGGCUGGAGUCGGUCCCAAGGGUUGGGCUGUUCGCCCAUUAAAGCGGUACGCGAGCUGGGUUUAGAACGUCGUGAGACAGUUCGGUCCCUAUCCGCUGUGCGCGUAGGAGUCUUGAGAAGGGCUGUCCCUAGUACGAGAGGACCGGGACGGACGAACCUCUGGUGUGCCAGUUGUCCUGCCAAGGGCAUGGCUGGUUGGCUACGUUCGGAAAGGAUAACCGCUGAAAGCAUCUAAGCGGGAAGCCUGCUUCGAGAUGAGGACUCCCACCUCCUUGAGAGGGUAAGGCUCCCAGUAGACGACUGGGUUGAUAGGCCGGAUAUGGAAGCCAGGUAACUGGUGGAGUUGACCGGUACUAAUAGGCCGAGGGCUUGUCCUCAUUUG